rnacentral:tRNA from 1 species
AGCGUGGUGUAGUGGUUUGAGUGUUGGACUAUGACUCUGGAGUCCAGGGUUCAAAUCCCAGCUCAGCCA